GAGGAAGGAAGGAAGGAAGGAAGGAAGGAAGGAAGGAAGGAAGGAAGGAAGGAAGGACAGCCAGAGGUGCAAGGCUAUGGAGGAACUCCUCAAGAGGAGAGUCCUCUUUCUGACAUUCUGCUAUGCAAGCAACAUUCAUCUGAACAACAGAUUGACUCAAAACAAAAUUCGAAACCUCUCCUAUGUUUCCUGCUAGUGCAAUGGGUCCAAAACGAAUUUCUACACUGAACAGGAUUAUAUUAAGUUAAAAUGUUCAUAGUGUUCUUUUAGAAAAGAUUUGUCAUCCAGCUUAGUUAAAUAUCAACUGUUCAUGCAAACAUAGUAUGUAUAACAGACACAGAAUUUACUGGAUAUUCAACAGAAAUGUUUUACCAGCUUUUCCAUUUUACAUAAUAAUUCUUUGCUGUUGUUGCUGUUGUUUUCUUAACUAUUCUGGCUCUUCUCUCUGCCUCUACUUUCUUUCUCUCUGAUACCAACAUAACUAAAAUGACUUAUCCCAGCACAGAAACAUGGAGAAAUUUCUCAUUUUGCAAAUUGGUUAUCCUUAUAGCUUGAUUUUUAUUAGAUAUUUUCUUCAUUUACAUUUCAAGUGUUAUUCCCUUUCCUAGUUUUCCCUUUGAAAACCCCCUACCCCUUACUCGCUCCCCCUACUCACCAACCCACCCACUCCCUCUUCCCAGCCCUGGCAGUCCCCUAUACUGGGGCAUAGAACCUUCACAGGACCGAAGGCCUCUCCUCCCAUUGAUGACCGACUAGGCCAUCCUCUGCUAGAAGAACCAUGAGUCCAACCAUGUGUUUUCUUUGAUUGGUGGUUUAGUCCCUGGGAGCUCUGGAUAUACUGGUUAGUUCAUAUUGUUGUUCCUCCUGUGGGGCUGCAAACCCCUUCAGCUCCUUGGGUCCUUUCUCUAGCUCCUUCAUUGGGGACCCUGUGCUUCGUCUAAUGGAUGGCUAUAAGCAUCCACUUCUGUAUUUGUCAGGCACUGGCUGAGCCUCUCAGGAGACCAACAGUUCUGGUUUCAGCACCUAAUACAUGUAUCACGAAUAAAGAUUUUAAUUGAAAAUUAAAUGGAUUAUCAUUAAUCCUCGCACAGAGAUCACAUGCACUGUUAUUCUCCUUCUCGAUCACUGUGUAGCUCCUCCAGAGAUAUUAUCUAACAAGCUGGGCUGACCACCACUUAAUUUGAAUAUUGAGGCUAAAAGAGUUUGGAGUUCUCCGUGAUUCAGUGAUUUAAGAGCAGUUUACCACACCACCAAAGGAAACUAAGCACAAGGUUUAUAUGCUGGCUUGGUUGCUGGGACCCACCAUUUAUUUCAUGAAAAGAUACCAUAUGUUCUUUCUGUUUCUUGCCAUGGGGUAAAUUAAAAGGUACAUUGAUCUUUUAACGUCUGUGCAAAUGUGGUUUUGAUGGCAGGGCCCCAUUUACCUUGUCAAGAUUGUCUUCUCUGCUCUGAGUUCCAAGUGGGAGGUAGACGUGUUUUUCUGUGAAGGACCAUUCUGAACAAUGACUUAACUAUUAGUAAGCAUAAAUGGCAAUUUUAACUUUGGCAUGAGGCCUCAACGCACUGUAUUUUUUCUUUAAUGUUAUUUCUUUCAAUGCUUUUGAGUUAAAAUUAUUCCCUUGAUAAUAAGGGGAUCUGCUUAAGUGUAUAUACAAUGAAAACUUUUGCUGGGAUUAAAUACAGGGAAUAUGAAACAAAAGGCCAAACUAUGUGUUAAGCCAGGAAAACAUUCUUCUCAGAAAUAAAUUUGGCUAAAUUGCCACUUUCCGCCCCUACAAAGCAUUUUCUUCCUAGUUGAGGAAUUGAGGACACGUGAUAAAUUGCUGACGCUUAGCCAUUGGGUUUCUCCUGGAAGAGCAUUGUUAAUUUCUGAUAACUUUCAUAUCUAAGAUAAAUGCUUACAAAACUAAAGACUUUCUCUAAACUAAUGUUUGAUCUCAUAUGAUUAAAAGAUCUGUAAACCAGCUCUUUCCUGAGAACUCAGAACAAGUGGUUUCAUGUGAAGAUUAAAGUACAAAUAUUGCUGUUAUAAUCCCCACUGUUCCGUGCAUUAUAGCAUUAUGAGCAAGAGAGUCAUUUGAUUGCAUUUGCUAAUUUUAUUCAGAAAUUAAGGGUUUAUGUCGCUCCUCUCGUUCUGCCUAUGAGGAUAAUCCCACCACCAUCUUUCCCUCAUGUUACUUAUAUGCUAUUUAAAGCUAAGCCCAUAUGAUCAUUGACUCUGUGA
rnacentral:lncRNA from 1 species